CAAGUCUUGACAUCCCUCUGAAUCCUCUAGAGAUAGAGGCGGUCUUCGGGACAGAGGUGACAGGUGGUGCAUGGUUGUCGUCAGCUCGUGUCGUGAGAUGUUGGGUUAAGUCCCGCAACGAGCGCAACCCUUGAUUUUAGUUGCCAGCACUUUAAGGUGGGCACUCUAGAAUGACUGCCGGUGACAAACCGGAGGAAGGCGGGGAUGACGUCAAAUCAUCAUGCCCCUUAUGACUUGGGCUACACACGUACUACAAUGGCUGGUACAACGGGAAGCGAAGCCGCGAGGUGGAGCCAAUCCUAUAAAAGCCAGUCUCAGUUCGGAUUGCAGGCUGCAACUCGCCUGCAUGAAGUCGGAAUUGCUAGUAAUCGCGGAUCAGCAUGCCGCGGUGAAUACGUUCCC
rnacentral:rRNA from 1 species